UAGUCUCAUCAAUUCAGCUCCAAUUUUGGGUUCGAAUACAGACGCGGGUCUGAACGUGACCAGACCUGGAGUGGCGGGUGCAGCCUGCCAGCAAUUGAGACUCGGUGUGCUUAUGGGGGAGUGGGGUGGGGGUGGGGUGGGGGUGGGAUGGGGGCCGGGCCGACCCCCCCCACCUCCUGUCUGCUUCUCAAUCCAGGGGUCUGCUCCGGGGCUCCCCUGGGACCGCCACAUCUGGUUACCGCUAGCGGGGUCAGUCCCCCCCCCCCUUUGCCUGGGGCCACCAGUUCUGGAGUUCAAUUAAAAGAAAUCAGGCUUAACCCUUUCCUUCCCUCGGCCGGCCGCCUGCCCUCUCCCUCUUCCCUUCAGCUUUUCCACAUGCUUUCCAGAGAGGAAAGAGGUUAAAGGGAAAGGAAGAAUGAAUUACAUCCUUUCAAACCCCAAAUUGUUUCCUUUUCAGCCCAGACUCUGCCGGCCUUCAAACGACAACAGGGCUUUCAGGAGGGUGCGGGGAGACCGCUUCCCACCCAGACCUGGCCAGAAACCCUGCACCCCCAGCCACACUGCCCCUCUUUCAGGCAGAAGGGAUUUCAACUCCACCACCGGGAGGCCCCCUUCCUGGUCCUGGGCAAGCACUGAGGUUGUUAAUGGCCACCCCACACCAGCCGGACGCUCCCCCUUCCUUCCACACUCCUCCUAGUGCUGGAGAAGGCACCUCCAUGGCAGAAAUACUGGCUAGGUUUCUCUUCCCUACUCCUAGGAGGCCUGGCCAAGAGCAUAUUCUUACCUUCACUGCACUGAUCAGGACAUUCACCCUCACACCCCUAGCACCCCCAACUCCUUUCAGCAGGAGCUUCCUCUCCCAUUGAGAGUUGCUCAGUGGGAAACUACAUUACAAUGAGGACUUGCCCUCCUGUUUUAGCUGUGGAACUCAAUAGCACUUUCUGUUUCUCCCAGGAAAACCAAAGCUAUGGCUAUUUCAUAAUUUUGAAGAUGGGGGGGAGAGGGUGACAUUGGCAUAACUGUCACCCCUUUGUGACUCAUUGACUAGCACUGACGCCAUGCCUUUUGCUAUUUACCAGCCCCUCCGUGAGGAGCUCCUGUCCAUUCACGAGGUCCUCCACCUAGAAAGAACCCCCCCCCAACCGGGAACAACAGCUCUCUGAGGGAUUUGAGGCUCCCUUCACCCCAUAUUGACAUGCUGGUGGGCAAGUUUGCCCCACUUACGUAACUCUGGGUUUGAAGCUCAACUCCUCCUGCUGCUUCUAUUUUAAAUCCCGAAGGGGGAAAAAGCCCUAACCAAACACAACAGUCAACAAGUCUGCCCUGUUUCAUGUGGUUACCACCAGACAUCUGGAAAGAUGGUUUGAUCCUGGCAGCUCACAUUGUUUUCACGAGCAGCCAAAGAGAAUAUUUUGAAUGUUUGCAUUGAGACAAAUUGAUAGAGAGCCUGUGGUAAGGCCCGCUACGAAUGAAAACUGUCUUUGCGUUGGGGAGGUGCAACCCCUCCCCUUCUCCCCACUCUCCCUCCCCUUUCUCUCUCCCUCUCCCUUCUUUUAGCUUAGCUGGGGACUGGUUACCCCAGCCCACACGCUUGCACACACCCUCUUUCCUGGCUCACCAGACUGUCCUGCCUGCCUUUCCCAGACUGGGCAAGGCUGGUGCCCAGGAGCUGGUGCCUGCGACCAUCAGCGCCCAUUCCACCAGCGCCGACUGGCUUUCAAGUCGGGGAGCUCUCGCAGCCAAGGAAGCCCGGCCAGCUUUUAAAACAAAAGCUACCAAUUGGGGGACCCACAAAACAACUCAUGACACAUUUCUAAGCCUAGGGUCACGUACAGAAAGCAUGCACAUGGAGGGCGAAUAUUUAGGAAAUAUUUGGAUUUCGAGCAUUUUCGCUGGAACUUUGGUCGGACGGCUUGCCUCGCACCGUCCGCACUUGACAGUAUUUUCAAAGAUGCGGAAGUCCUGCUUCCCCCCGGGAGGGGUGCGGCGGGGUGAAACGUGUCUUGGCUCGCUCAAAGUCAGCCCCUUUGACCCGGUCAAGACUUUCCAGACGCGACUUCCUGGGCUUCUUUGGUCCCAGCCCAGGUUGGGGGUGGGAGGACGCGACAAUCGGAGCCGGGUCCCCGGGGUGCCUCCAGCCCCGGGGACUGCUCCGUCACUUGAAACCCCGAAAGAUGCCAGGCCUGGCAGAGCGUCUCGGGCGGAUCCUUUCCCCUCCGUCCUCCCUCCUCUCCCGCCCCUCGGGUCCAGCGCGGCCUCGGCUGGUAUUCGAGCUGGCAACGGGGGGAUGGGGGGGGGCGAAGGGGGGGGAGGCGGGAGCGCGGGGGAGGGACGGGCGAGCGAGCGCCAAAACUCCAGACUGCACAACUGCAGCUUCAAGUGUCUGGCCCCUCGCUCGAGGCCAUAAUUAAUUUGAGAUUUAUUUUUAUUGGAGAACUCGAGUCUCGUCUGACCUUAGCCAAACAAGGCAGCUCGAGCCGCCCCUGGAUGCGCUUGAAUGCCGGGGAAUAUUUCUGCAGGAAGGCUCUGCAGGCGCGCCUGCUUUGAAUUUGUUUCUCAGACUUCAUCUACUCAGAGAUUGAAGGAAGAUUUAGAGCCUCUGCUCGCCCUGCCCGCUCCCCACGCUCGUUCUUGCCUUAGCGCCAAGCGGGUUCAAAACGCUACGUGGGAGGCCGCGGCGGCGGGAGGGCCGGGGGUCGGCUGGCCCGGCUGGGGGAGGGUCUCUGCGCCCCGAGCCCCAGGCGCUCGGGGCCGGGUCCCCAGACCACGCGGCGUCGACGAGGAAAUCCCGAGGGAGUCCGAGAGCGCAGAGAGCGCAGGCUGACAAGAGGUAGAGACCAGCCAGGUGCCGGGACUCUCACCCAGCGGCGGCGCCUAGACCGGGGCCUGGGGCGGGGACCGGAGCAUUUCAGCCUCUCGGAUCUCCGUCAGCCCCAAACGGCAUUUAUUCUAAGUACAGACCUGCGUCCUUGAAACGCCGCUGCAGGACCUGCCGGCCAGAUGCUGCUCCUGAGCCGUGUCGCUGUGAACAUUCUGGGGCUAUAAGCCUCCUUUGGUCUGGUUUGGGGGGGGGGGUGUCUCCUCCAGAAUGCAGCAUGGGCUGAAUCAGCAGGCUACGUGGUGAGGCAGCGGGAGCAAGGAGUCUGGGAGACUCGCAAAGAGGGAAAGUCGAGGACCCAGCCAGUCUUCGUGGGGUGGGCGAGGGGCUUUCCGGGUUGUGCUCCCCGCGCUGGGAUUGACAAGGGAUUUGCACAGUGCGGGGGCAGGAUGAAUCCCCAUAUCUGCAAGUGGAAUAUCCAGGUCGAAAGUCUCACUGAGGGACCUAGGGUUUGAAUUCCCGCUCUGCAUGGACCAGCUCUGUGGCCUCGAACAAGUUCCUUAACCUCUCUGUGCCUCAAUCUGUACAUUGGUGUUGUAAUAGGACCUAACCCUCAAAGGGCUGUCGUAAACCUGAAAUGAGUGUCUGGAACUUGCCUGACAGCACAAUUUUGCCCUUAUUAUUUGUAUUUUGGCCCCAUCCCUUACAAGCUGUGUUACCUUAACCUCUCAAUACCUCAGUUUCUCAUCUGCAAAAUAGCUUACCUCCUAGGGUUGUUAUUAAUAUUGAGUUAGUACAAAUGCAAUAUUUAGAACAGGGCCUGGCAAAGGUAAGGGCUACCUUAACGUUACCACCAUUAUUCACCUACUGCGAUGUCAUUGUCCUAAAGAGUCACCCCGUUCCCUCUCUCCCUUUCCCUUGCUCUUUCCAGCCUCAGACCCGCCCUCACCGCUCCCCUGCGGAAACUCCCAGAGCACUCUGUGGGUUCUCAGAACCCAGAUCGCUGCCGGGUGGAGUGGGCACCCUUUGCUGCUGCGGCCCGGCUGGGCUCCAGGCUCCGGGCCUGGGCGCCUGGGCCCGCGCGGUGUUUGUCAACAACCUCGGAGGUUCCUGACGCAGAAUGGCAGGGGCUUGGCAGCAGGGAACUGUUUGUGCCCCUCUGGCAAAUGGUCGAUGUAGGGAGCCGGAGGAACAGACCCAAGAUUGUCCCUGCUACGCAGACCUUUCGCCGCCAUCAAUGCACCCCUUUGUGCAACAAUACAAACUUUGUGGCUGCUGAAAAAUCCAUUUUUUGCCCCUUGAAAAGAGCUCCUGCGGCGAGCGGCUCCUUUGGCUGACCACAGCUCCUAGACUGCCGCCUCUCUCCCUGCUGCCCACUCCGGACCUCUCUGCUCUCCUGGGCCGGUUUGCUUUCUCUCUGACUCUCGGCCUGGAUUAAACACCUCUUACCCGCGCCAAGGCUCCAGGACCUGUCCUCCCCAAAAGAAAUGAGACGAGGGCCGAACGCAAAAGUGGCGCUUCCUGAGAGUCGCACCCCAUCGCGGUGGCCACGUGCCGGCAGACGGUCCCACACUUCGGUGGCAUUCGCGGACGCAGGAGGGAGCUCGGCGCGGGCACGCAGCCCCGUAACCCUCCCCUACCCACAAUCGGAGACACGCAUUUCCCCCGGGCCUGGGUGGCUUCACACCUGCGGACACCGGGGCCGGGGGCCCGUCCGAGCCAGAAGAGAGAACGCUGCCGGGAUAGAGGACUCGCAGAUGGCAGGAGGUGGAGCCCAGAACCCAGGGUGGCCCCAGAUGUCUGUCCGGGAGAGCCACCUAGGUCCAGGCUCUGCUUGAGCAGGAAUUCAGGCUUCUGAUUUCUGAUAUCACCUCACGUCUGUCUGGCUGGCUGUUGUGAGAAAAGAAAGGCAGCACGCAAUGGCGAGGAUGUGGAGAAAUUGGAACCUUUGCACAUUGUUGGUGGAAAUGCAAAAUGGCGCAGCUGCGGACGACAGCAUGGAGGGUACAGAGGGGGACAGUGGCUGAAAUGUCUGUCCCCCGCUGCUAGCGGGACUUUGAGGAGGUUCCAGGUCUUUUGAAGUAAGUCCAGAGGUCUUUCAACAACCAGAUCCUCAGCUCUUGCUGAGUAGCACCGGGCUGAAGAUCAAAUCCACUCAGCUUCGUUGGCCGUCUCCCCACCCUGUCUGCAGGACUUCCCAGGGGAGGGUGAUAAGAUCACAUUUUGCUCUGUCUCCCCCCCCCCCCCAACUCACUCUCUAAAGGUCAUCUUUAUCCAAAAGGUCUUCACUUCCGGCCUGACGAUCAGGGCCAAUCUGGUAGCAUCGGAGGUAUACUGGGAAAGCCUCGCCAGACACCCCCACCCCCAACCCCGGCCUCCCCCUAUUCUGGUCUUGGCCUUCCUGGCUCUACGUCCACCAUCCUCUCCUGCAGCUCUGGUCCAGAGAAUUCUUCUGCUGUGGAAAAUGCAAACACCUCCAUAAGGGAUGGCUAAUUUAGUCUCGAAUGUCUGUGAUCUAGCUGACAGCUCCUUUUUUUUGAAAAGAAACAAGGAGUGGGAGCAGAAGCAGGAGGGUCAGCAAAAAAAAAAGAAGAGAUGAGGUGUUGCCUUGUGGGGUUCCCUGCCCCCAGUCCUGCGUGGAGGGUUCUGACACCGCCCUUGAAAAAAUGAAGUGUGUUCAGAUACAGGUGUUGCUGCUUGUUUCAAAACACGGGUCCCACCCUCCACGUCUACCCAAGAAAGCAGAUCUCCACAGAGUAAGGUGGAGCCCUGAAAUGAGUAUGAAUUAUCUGCCUUCCACACACCCUGAUGGCAUCUGUGCUGGAACAUUCGGGCCAUUUCAACCACGUGGUGUGGCUGAUCCCCGCCGCACCUCGGGAUGAUGUUGACAGGAUCAGCUUCGACUCCAGAAAACACCUAGGCCUGUUCUCAGAAGGAAAAAUGGAGUUUCCUUAAAAAGAACUUUAAAGAGGAAAGAAAAAAUCUCAGCCUUUAAUUUAUUAAAAAAAAAGCAAGCGGAGUCCAUCUACUUUUUUGAAAUAAACCAAGAUACAGUUAAUAGUUUACAGACGUUGGCUGGGGCUUUUCCUCUUUCAUGUGUUUAUGAAAUGUUUUCUGCUCUUCACCUUUAAGAGCUUUCACACCUCCCUCUGAAUUUGUCAUUACUUUGAAUGCCGAGCCGAAGGAUCUCUCAUCAAAUGCAAUCCCUAGGACUUGCAUCCUGGAGGAUCCGAGGGCAGCAAACCCCACUCCAUGGGCAACGCCACUUCGAAAAGCGCACCCCUCUGCGGGCCAUGGAGGUGUGGCCAUGCGUGAGGCAGCUGAGCAAUGUCCAGGGUCACUGGGCAACCCCAAACACACACAGCCUGGCUAGAAGUGGCCUGGUGUAUUUUUUUCCCCAGGCAGGAGGCAGCUGGAUUCUAACUUACUACAAACAGGUCUCUUUCAGUGACUUGGAGCCCAGAUGAGGCAUUACAAUGUCAAGCACACUCUUUCCUCAUCACUGUCCCUAUUUCUUCCUUGAGUGUUCAGCCAGGGUGGUCCUGAUAAGAGCUCUGUUGCCAACAGAGAGCUCUCUACUUACAGCCUGCAUGUAAGUGGUGGUGGCUCCUGGGCUCCCUGGGGGGUGCAGGAGGAAGUGAGUAGGUUCCAGAAUGUUCUGGGGCAGCCUCCCCUUCAUUCUUCUCUCUCUUUCCCCCACCUUUCCUUUUCACUGUUCCCUUGUGGGUGGCUUUCCCUGUUAAUCUCCUUCCCCUGGAGGUGAUAAAGCCCCCCACCCCCACUCCUCAUAGCAUCUUCCAUCAGGAUGAAGGAGGACAGGCAGACUCCUUCUGGUGGUCAUUCUCUGCAGGACACUAGCAAAGACUGUUACUCAAAUAGCAAGAAGAGUGGAAAUUUCUUUGAUUUCUGGGAUGGGCCCGGUGCUGAGUGGGCUGGCCUUGAGGACGUGGCCAGGUUCGCAGCCUCCACUGGGUCCCAGGGCAUCUCCAGAUCCCAGAGGGUCUCCCUGUGGCCCACCAGCAGCACUAACAGCACCAGUUGGGCUGGAGAGGUGGACUGCAGAGGGGGGUGGGGAGGGGGGCUGGCAAACCCGAGUGCCUUGUUCCUGGCUUUUUUCUGUGGCAUCUGCUGGAGUACAGCCUUGGCAACCAACCCUGUCCGCCUGACAACAAUUCAUGGCAUCUAAUUGCUCUUUCCUUUUCAUUUUAUUUAGUAACUGGGUUCAGCCCAGGAAACUCUGGCUUCCAAUCCUUGAGUGUUUUGACUCAGGGACCGUAAACUGUCUGAUUUCUUGGACAAACACAAUCUUGAGGAAUUUUUCUCUUUAUACAAUGGCAGGGAUCUGUGAAUGUCAGCCUUCUCCACUCAGGCCUUGGCAGGUUUUUUUUCCCCUUCCUACAGACGUCAAUCUCCUUAAAAUAAAUAUUCCCUUUGGUUUUGGGGGCCCUUUCCUUUGGAUUACUCACCUUUAUCUCUGGGAUUACAAAGCAGCUGGGAAGCAGAGAUAGAGUUCACAGUGACUUUCACACAGAGCAGGAGAAAAAGAGCAUGCUGGGCGAUCCAACUCAUAUUUUAGAUUUUAACAACUCUGGAAUUCACCUUUGGCUUUGGAGAUUCUACUCCUUUGCCCUGGGGGGCCAUCUACCUGUAUGCUUUCCUACGUGGUGUGGCUGCACACCGUCUCCCUGGUCCAGCUUCCCCUCAGCUGUGACAUCCACCACCACCCCCCACCCCGCCCCGCCGACACACACACAACCACCUGAGUCAUCUUUCUGAAGCAAAUCCGGUCACGUCUCCCCCACCCGCCAACGGAGGACUCCGAUAAAGUCCCACUACUCAGUCAGGCAAACUGAGUCCUUCACUGUCUGGCCUUGCCUGCCUCUUUGGUCUCAUUUCUCAUUACUUCCCCUGGGUACUCCAUGGGGCAGGCCACCAGGAGGGGAGGCCUUUCACCUUGGUUCUUUGGCAUGUGUGAUCCCUUCUGCCUGGAAUGCCUUUCUGCUCCUUGUUGGAUUCUUUCUUGUCCAUUCUGACCGUGUGAGGCCAUCCUAUACGAAGAGAAUCUCCCCUCACUCACCCGGCCCCCUUCGGCCAUCCAAAGAGCUGCGAGCUUACGAUUACCCUCAUUAUUCCUUCCACUCAAAUACACUGCUAACCACUCUUAAGUCUUCUUUUCCUUUUUGUCCUUCUCCCUUGUCUUCCCUCCCCUCUUCAUCUCUUUCUCCUCUUUUUAAAGAUCGGAUAAUAUCUUUGAAAUCUCUGCUGGGCCUUGUAUGGUACCUGGCGUUCUACCCAAACCAAAAGGGUCGCAUGCGAAUUUUGGUCUUAUCAAAUAUCUGCGAUGCCUGGACGCCAACUGGGCACCUUAUGUCAGCUCCCUCACUUAAAUAGCACACCACCCUGUGACGUACAUGUGAUUUUCUCAUUUUCACGUCACAUAGACCGAGGCUCCGUGAGUUCAAAUUGCUUUUGGGGGGCGCCUGUAUGGCUCAGUCUGUUAAGUGUCUGCCUUCGGCUCAGGUCAUGAUCCCAGGGUCCUGGGAUCGAGCCCUACAUUGGGCUCCUUGCUCAGUGGGGAGCCUGCUUCUCCCUCUCCCUCUGCCCUCCCCCUGCUUGUGUGCUCUCUCUCUAUCAAAUAAAUAAAAAAAAAAAUGUUUUUG